ensembl:snoRNA
AUUCUUUUGUAGUUCACAAGCAUGAUGAUUGCAUGUUCACAUGCAUGUGUGAGAUAUCACCCUCAUGAACCUUGGUACGAUGUCAGCACGUUACCCAUCUCACA